CCGGCACGGGUGAGUAACACGUAUGCAAUCCACCUGUAACAGGGGGAUAACCCGGAGAAAUCCGGACCAAUACCCCAUAAUAUGGGCGCUCCGCAUGGAGAGCCCAUUAAAGAGAGCAAUUUUGGUUACAGACGAGCAUGCGCUCCAUUAGCCAGUUGGCGGGGUAACGGCCCACCAAAGCGACGAUGGAUAGGGGUUCUGAGAGGAAGGUCCCCCACAUUGGAACUGAGACACGGUCCAA
rnacentral:rRNA from 1 species